rnacentral:lncRNA from 1 species
UGUCAGCUUGCAGAGAAGAGAGUUGGCCCUGGAACUCCUUUAUCAUCUCGCUCUGAUAAGCGAACGAGGCCUGUAGUUGCAUCAACUCUGCUGGAUUCUGGUCAGGUGAAGUAUUCUGUAACGAGGACUGACUUGGUUGUGGAUUUGAAUCCAUGUGCAGAGUUUUAUUAAGCACCACAGCACAAACAGAGGCAAACGGAGAGCAGAUAUCGUGGUCAAUUAACAGGCAAAGGGUCGCAAACAAUAGCAGCAGUCCAGAUAGCAAACACAUCCAAAUCAGUAAUCCAAAAGACGAGGUCAAAGGCAGGCAAAAGACAUACACAAGCAAACAAUCCGUGACAAUGAAAUACGCUUGGUAGAGACAGGGUAAACUGGCAAUACUUCGCAACAUAAUGCACAAACAACAUGGCUUAUAUGGCUUAUAACAGGUGCAGGCAGGAAGUGAUGAGAGAAGAAGCGGCAGUGUUCAGUAUUCGGGAGACGGCUCCCUCUGGUGGUUGGAUGAAUGAAUGGUGGAUGCAGAUGUUACAGGACGUUAAAUCAGGAACAAUAAAAAAUACAAGAUUAAAAAAAAAAAACCACUAAUACAAAACACGGACUCUUGAAUCUUGCUAUGUUGGAACGAUGCCCACAAGGCUAUCAGAACUGACUUCACAUAGCAUUUUAUGUGACAUUGUGAAUCUUGCAAAAUUUUAUGAUCAACAGAAAAAAUAGUGCUACUGUUUCUUGUUCAGCUAGCAAUGCAAUGAUGCUGCUUUAUGUGCCAAAUCCCACCAGAUGGAGACAUUUUAUUAGUUGAAACUGAUCAAAGUAGAAAGGUGUAAAUAUCAGUCAAAGAUGUUGAUAAAUAUUCGAUGGAUUAUCAUUCACUCUCUAGUAAUAAUGACUGUCUGUCUUUAGCUGUUUCAGAUCCAGGACUGUCUCCAGCUGCUAUAGCAGGAAUAUGUGUUGUUGCUGUUGUUUUGCUAUUGAUUGCUGCUGCUGCUGCUGCUUGCUAUCGCAAGUGUAAAGACAGAUCAGAAAAGGACAUUGAGAUGCAGUACAAUCAAGGUCAAGAUCAGGUGAGAUUCUGUGUGCAUUAAAUAUGUCUGGCUGGUAUACCCACGCCGCCAUGCUGAGGGGAGUGCAGGCCAGAAUCAUGGCGAACACUAAGUACCAACUCUACCAUUUCCAUGGGAGUUGCCCCGGGACGUUUAGACGGCUGUCUGUGACAAUACCCCUUACGGCCAAAGGCCUAAGCUACAUACCCAACUUAAUUGUUAGGGCCUCGGCCCGGUGGUAGAGCUAAAUGCUUGGAAUCAGGAAAGAUUCCUUUAAAGGGAUACAGCUAGGAACCUAGCAUUUUAUACUAAGUCUUGCCUGUCACACAGGGGCUACAGCUUGCUUCCGCAAAAGCUUGCUGAAGGAGCUGUCUCAACAGAUCUCCAGUAGCAACACCCUGUUUAGAUAGGUAUCCGAGGAUACAUGGGUGGAGUGGCGCCCAAGAUGAACGGGGCUUUUACCAACUCAAGAAAGGGCACGAAGCAACCGCGCGAAGCCCUCACCAUAUAGGAUUUUAGAAAGAACGCAGAGACCUAGUGUGCAAACUUACCACAGUGUGGAUUUUAGAAAGUGUGCAAAGACUUCACGUGCACACUUACCAUAUCAUGGAUUUUCAAAUACUGUUCUAAGGAAGGGCUCUCGUGGCACUCUGAUAGAGCAGCUCAUAGAUGGAAUGGUGCAUCUCAAAAAAGUAUGUUUGAGAGUCAUCAACUCGAUCUGUGGAAAUAAUGCUGGAGUGCUCUGGGGAAAAACAGUGAACACAGUCUCAUAUGAGAGGAGAACUCCUGAAUCCAGAGUAGCGCGCUCAUAGGCGACCCUUCUUGGAAAAGGGGAGCGCUGCUAAACAACCACGAGAAUCGCCUGAAUAGCCCCUCAUGCUGAGGGAAGCGAUGCUUGAAGUGUAUAAACGAAUACACACUGGCUGAAUGGAACCCAAGGAACCAAGGUCUAAUCAUCUCAAGGAAGGGAACGAGGCGGAGCGUGUAACCCUUACCAUACAGGAUUUCAGAAAGUGCGCAGAGUCUUGCGUGCACACUUACCAAUACAUGGAUUUUUAGAAAGUGCGCAAAGUGUUCACGUGCACACUGACCACCAUGUGGUUUCAGAAAGUACACAGAGCUUAGCGUGUGUACCUAAAGGUUCCUAAGCAUCGCAGAGGCGCU